GACGAACGCUGGCGGCGUGCUUAACACAUGCAAGUCGAACGGAAAGGCCCUGCUUUUGUGGGGUGCUCGAGUGGCGAACGGGUGAGUAACACGUGAGUAACCUGCCCUUGACUUUGGGAUAACUUCAGGAAACUGGGGCUAAUACCGGAUAGGAGCUCCUGCUGCAUGGUGGGGGUUGGAAAUUUUCGGCGGUUGGGGAUGGACUCGCGGCUUAUCAGCUUGUUGGUGGGGUAGUGGCUUACCAAGGCUUUGACGGGUAGCCGGCCUGAGAGGGUGAACGGCCACAUUGGGACUGAGAUACGGCCCAGACUCGUACGGGAGGCAGCAGUGGGGAAUAUUGCACAAUGGGCGGAAGCCUGAUGCAGCAACGCCGCGUGCGGGAUGACGGCCUUCGGGUUGUAAACCGCAUUCGCCUGUGACGAAGCGUGAGUGACGGUAAUGGGUAAAGAAGCACCGGCUAACUACGUG
rnacentral:rRNA from 1 species